UUUUGUCCCAGAUUGGUACUCAAACUUUUUUUUCGUUAACUAAAUAAGUACCUAAGCCUAACACCGUUAAGUUCAGGACAAAUAGCGGAAUAAGAUUGUGACAUGUAACAUAAAUGACGUCAUGAUGUUGUUAUAAUCUAAAAUUUUUUUAAAACUUAUCUAUUUUAUUUUUGCUCCCCUAAAUUUUUUUGUUUGUGUAAUUAAUUUUCUUUCUUCUUUUUUUUGUUUCUUCUAUCAUUUCUUCUUCUUCUUUCUCCCUCAGCCCAAGUUUCUCUUCUUUUUCUUUUCUUUUUUGUAAAAUUUUCGUUAAAAAGUUCUUGAGCCGCUCCACCCAGUUCAGUUCACUCAUCUUUUCCUCCUUAAGGUCUUUAGAAGUGACGGACGUCGUCAUCGAAAUAGCAGCCGCAACAUCGCUACGCCACGGCAAUACCAAUCUGCUGAUAUUCUCUUUGGAUUUGCUGUAAGGUAAGAGGAGGCAUGAUUAAUUGAUUCUAAGUAUUAGAUUGAUAGGUGAAGGUUCCAUCUUUGGGUUUCAUUUUCUUUUCGAGGUUUAAUAAUAUGAUGAGAUGAUUAAUAUUAUAACAAUUAAUUUGACCUCCGACAACUCUCUUAUUAGAUUUCUUGUUUGCUUGUGUUUGUUUGAUCAGUCUUUUCCCAGAUUCAGAUAAUGCCCAAUAAGAGUUCUUCAGCAAUACUAGAAAAUAAGAGGGGGGGGGGGGAAUGCUACUGUGGAACAAAAGACACCUUCAACUCCAAAAAUGGCUGCUAAUGAAAUUGAUGAGAUAUUAAAGGGAAAAAUUUGAGAAACCAAAGUCGAUGAAGAAGGAUACAAAAGUAAAAGGAAACUUGUAAAAUUUCUAACAUAAAUUUAGAAAAUAUUUCAAGCAAUCAUCUUUUAGCAAAUUUCUUUUGGUUCCAAGCGGCAGACAAUGCGCCACGAAAAAGGCUCUCACUGUUGAAAGAAAAUUAAUUACACAAACAUAAAAAAUGGACGAGAGUCAGUCUUUGUGGGUUCGUUUGAAAAGGGGGGAAGUGGUGGGGGUUGGUUGAUGGUGGCUGAAAAAUGAGGAGGAAAAUGAAAAGGGUUUAAGAGAUGUGAUUUUGGUGGUGAUUGGAUGGUGAGAAAAUGAGGGAAAAUUUUAGGGAUUCUUGAUAGAAGAAAGAUGGAGUGUAGAAGCAAGGUCAGAAAAAGAAAAAUAAGAAAAGAAAAAGGGAGGAAAAUAAGAGAAAAUAAAAAAUAAAAUAAAAAUAAAAAGAGGUACAAGAGGAUGCCAUGUGGUGGUACGUGAUUGGCCAGUACUGUCACAUCAGUAAAAAUUAACGACGUUAGACUCGAGUACCAAUUUAGUUGACGAAAAAAAAUUCAAGUACUAAUCUCGGACAAAAAAAAUCAUAAGUACCAAUUUGAGAGAAGUUGACAAGUUUGGGUAUAAAUUUUAUAUUUAGCCCUUCUUUAAAUUAAGACUUUUUUUUAAUUUCACGUAUUAUUUAUUUU
rnacentral:lncRNA from 1 species